UACGUAGGGUGCAAGCGUUAAUCGGAAUUACUGGGCGUAAAGCGUGCGCAGGCGGUUCUAUAAGACAGAUGUGAAAUCCCCGGGCUCAACCUGGGAACUGCAUUUGUGACUGUAGAGCUGGAGUGCGGCAGAGGGGGAUGGAAUUCCGCGUGUAGCAGUGAAAUGCGUAGAUAUGCGGAGGAACACCGAUGGCGAAGGCAGCCCCCUGGGCCAAUACUGACGCUCAUGCACGAAAGCGUGGGGAGCAAACAGG
rnacentral:rRNA from 1 species